AUUGAACGCUGGCGGCAUGCUUUACACAUGCAAGUCGAACGGUAACAGGGGAGCUUGCUCCCGCUGACGAGUGGCGAACGGGUGAGUAAUGCAUCGGAACGUGCCGAAUAGUGGGGGAUAACACACCGAAAGGUGUGCUAAUACCGCAUACGCCCUGAGGGGGAAAGUGGGGGACCGCAAGGCCUCACGCUAAUCGAGCGGCCGAUGUCGGAUUAGCUAGUUGGUGGGGUAAAGGCUCACCAAGGCGACGAUCCGUAGCGGGUCUGAGAGGAUGAUCCGCCACACUGGGACUGAGACACGGCCCAGACUCCUACGGGAGGCAGCAGUGGGGAAUUUUGGACAAUGGGGGAAACCCUGAUCCAGCCAUGCCGCGUGUCUGAAGAAGGCCUUCGGGUUGUAAAGGACUUUUGUCCGGGAGGAAACCCUGAUCGUUAAUAGCGGUCGGGACUGACAGUACCGGAAGAAUAAGCACCGGCUAACUACGUGCCAGCCGCCGCCGUAACAC
rnacentral:rRNA from 1 species